AUGGCCGGUCAUACGUCUGGCCGGUGGACGCCACCACAGGGUCGCGCAUCAAAUCCAAAGAAAUCGGGCAGGAGAACUCCUUGGGCACCGAGAAGGAGGUGUCGUCGCAGCCGCCGCCGCCCCACGAUGGAAGCCGCUGCAAGUUUCCCGCCGACGGCCAAUACUGGGCCGCCUUUGCGUUGCCAGGGUCGAACUGCGAGAAGAGGCUGUAGCGGAGCAAGGCGAGAACACCACCGACGAGCAGGAGGGCCUAGCUUGGAGAAGGAUGAACAUUGGAGUAAGAACAAGCAUGGAGUUGAUGGCAUGCACAAGGGGAACAAGAACGGAGUUACAAGUGAUGAUUUCAAGACUUUGAAGCCACCAUAA
rnacentral:rRNA from 1 species